AUCUGAAGUGUUGGCCCCACUGGUAUGGACCCAGUACCUAUAGACAGUUGGGCUGUUGUUGUUAUUGUCUUUAGAACAUUUGGGUAGUAUUGGACUUGCAAUAAUUGAAACUUGAUCGGGUCAUUGGAAUUUGGAACUCUUUUGUAGGGCAUGUUUGCAUGCGGGUGGCACUAAUCAAAUCAGAUAAGUUUAGCCUGAUGUAUUUUGUUUUCUAUGGGGAGACGAAAUGAAAUGAAUUGAUACAGUUGACCCUUUUAAGUUUUGAGUUCCGUCUUAGAGUGGCUCUUGCGUUGAAUGGAGAUCUCACCAUGAUAUCGUGGAUUAGGAACCUCGACAGCAAGCCAUUUAGUUUCUCCUUUGCUUUCCACACAUUUUUCUCUAUUUCUGUCAUCAGGAAUUUCAAUGGGAGCUGUUGUUGGAAUCUCUGUUGCAGCUGUUGCCAUUAUACUAUUUCUAGUUUUGUCUAUACAUUGGUGCGUCUAGAAGAAAGAAACUGAAGAAGGCAUCAUUGCUUCGACCACCUUUCGAAGAUAACUCUAUUCACCAUGGAUAAGGUAAAUCUCUUGGUUAGGCAUUAAUCUCUACAUUUUCCUUUUGGGAAUGCUCCAAGUUUCCACCGAGGC